AGUAGCCCGAAUCAAGUGGGACAGUGAAAAAGGUGGUUAGACGGCCUGUUUGUUUGUUUAUCAGACUGAGGUUGAGAAAAGGGGAUCGACCCGAAAAAGUAGGAGUGCAAUCUAUCAUAUUUUUUUGAGGGAAGGGGAAGUUUCUUCUUUAGGCUGAAUCCACGGAAUCGGUUAACUGAAGACAUGGAUUAGAUACCCAUUUAUUGCCGACGCAAACUUUGCUUUAUCAGUGCAGCUGCUUGGGUACUACGAGCGAGUGCUUAAAACUCAAAGAACUUGGCGGCUUGUUAACUACCUAGGGGAAUAUGCGCCUUAAUCCGAUGGUCCCCGACAUAUCUUACUGAGUCUUGAAAGAGUGCAGCUGGUGUAUUGCCGUUGUCAGCUUGUUGUUUGAGCAGAAAGAAACAGGCUUAAUGGAUUUCGACAAUAAGGUUGUUGAAACUCCGUGAAUUCAGGUCGUAAUACUGCCUAUGGCUCAAGGGAGUGGGUGUUACAAUUCAUAUUUGGAAUUACGGAUCUUAAUUGUGGAAUCUUUAAGUGAAGGUGAACUUAGGAGUAAGGAUAGAUUAACAUGCUUUCCUGAACAUGAAUCUAACUCGUGUACAAACUGCCCGUCGCUCUCGGCGAGAGCUGAGAUAAGUCGUA
rnacentral:rRNA from 1 species